GCAUAUCUAUAUGUCGGAGGGAAAAAGAAACUAACAAGGAUCCCCUUAGUAACGGCGAAGUGAAGCGGGAAGAGCUCAAAUUUGAAAGCUGGUACCUUCGGUGCCCGCGUUGUAAUCUCGAGAAGUGUUUUCCGUGCUGGACCAUGUACAAGUUCCUUGGAAUAGGACGUCAUAGAGGGUGAAAAUCCCGUACUUGACAUGGAUGCCCAGUGCUUUGUGAUACACUCUCCACGAGUCGAGUUGUUUGGGAAUGCAGCUCAAAAUGGGUGGUAAAUUCCAUCUAAAGCUAAAUAUUGGGGAGAGACCGAUAGCGAACAAGUACCGUGAGGGAAAGAUGAAAAGCACUUUGGAAAGAGAGUUAAACAGUACGUGAAAUUGUCGAAAGGGAAGCGCUUAAAGUUAGACAUGCCUAUUGGGAUUCAGCCUUGCUUUUGCUUGGUGUAUUUCCCGGUGAGCAGGCCAGCAUCAGUUUCGGCUGUCGGAUAAGGGUUAGAGGAAUGUGGCCCCUCGGGGUGUUAUAGCCUUUAACUGGAUACGGCGGCUGGGACUGAGGAACGCAGCGUGCCUUUAUGGCGGGCCUUCGGGCACCUUCACGCUUAGGAUGCUGGCGUAAUGGCUUUAAGCGACCCGUCUUGAAACACGGACCGAGGAGUCUAACAUGUCUGCGAGUCUUUGGGUGACAAACCCAUAGGCGCAAUGAAAGUGAAUGCAGGUGGGAUCCUCACGGAGCACCAUCGACCGAUCCGGAUUUUCUAUGAUGGAUUUGAGUAAGAGCAUAUAUGUUGGGACCCGAAAGAUGGUGAACUAUGCCUGAAUAGGGCGAAGCCAGAGGAAACUCUGGUGGAGGCUCGUAGCGGUUCUGACGUGCAAAUCGAUCGUCAAAUUUGGGUAAUAGGGCGAAGACUAAUCGAACCAUCUAGUAGCUGGGUCUGCGAG
rnacentral:rRNA from 1 species